rnacentral:lncRNA from 1 species
AAAAGUACAAAUAACAAUAAUAAAUAAAUGAAUUUAAGCCAAAAAGAAUUAUGAGAACCUGAAUAAAAAAAAGGGUUACCAAAAUUAUAAAAAAAAACACUAAGCAAUGAUUUCAAACAAUCAAAUGAAAUAAAAAAAAAAAAAAAAAACUUACAUGAAUCAACCUAAGUGAGCAUGCCAAAUAUAUAAGCUAAGUAAUGAGAUCGAGAUAAGCCAACAAAAAAUAAAAAAAAAUCAAAGUCCAACUCCAAAUAAAUCUAACGUAGAAAAGUGAAUUUGAAAAAAAAAAUCAAUUAAAAAAAACUAGAAAAACAACAAGAAAAUCCAACAAGUAAACUAAAUUUUGUGAACCAAAUCAUAUAAAUGAGAUAACUCAACAGAAAACAAAAAAAA